GGCUGCGGGUGACUGAUAUGUGACUGGGAGAGGUUGCGGGUGACUGAUAGGUGACUGGGAGAGACUGUGGGUGACUGAUAGGUGACUGGGAGAGACUGUGGGUGACUGAUAGGUGACUGGGAGAGACUGUGGGUGACUGGAAGAGGUUGCGGGUGAUUGGGGGCUGUGGGUGACUGAUAUGUGACUGGGAGAGGUUGCAGGUGACUGAUAGGUGAAUGGAAGAGACUGUGGGUGACUGAUAUGUGACUGGGAGGUGCUGCGGGUGACUAGGAGGCUGUGGGUGACUGAUAUGUGACUGGGAGAUGCUGUGGGUGACCAGGAGAGGCUGCGGGUGACUGGCAGAGUCUGUGUGUGACUGUGAGAGGCUGCAGGUGACUGAUAUGGGACUGGGAGAGGCUGCGGGUGACUGAUAUGUGACUGGGAGAGGCUGCAGGUGAC